rnacentral:lncRNA from 12 species
UCUAGGUCAUACCUGUAAUUAACCUGGUCUCCUUCUGAAGCUCCUCCUCCAAGGAAGUAAGAUGCUUUCCCAGUCAGGGGACAAGUAUUUCGUUCACCAGGUUCUGCAGGAUUUACCCAGAUUCCAUGGUGUGCCUGAACCCCUGGAUGUGUUCACCCAAAUGGAAAAAUAGAG